rnacentral:rRNA from 1 species
UCGAGAAUUUUUCUCAAUGGGCGAAAGCCUGAAGGAGCGACGCCGCGUGGGGGAUGAAUGGCUUCGGCCCGUAAACCCCUGUCAUUUGCGAACAAAUUGAAUUACUUAACACGUAAUUCAUUGAUUGUAGUAGAAGAGGAAGGGACGGCUAACUCUGUGCCAGCAGCCGCGGUAAUACAGAGGUCCCAAGCGUUGUUCGGAUUCACUGGGCGUAAAGGGUGCGUAGGCGGUAUUGUAAGUCUGGCGUGAAAUCUCCAAGCCUAACUUGGAAACUGCGUUAGAUACUACAAUGCUAGAGGAAUGGAGGGGAGACUGGAAUACUUGGUGUAGCAGUGAAAUGCGUAGAUAUCAAGUGGAACACCAGUGGCGAAGGCGAGUCUCUGGACAUUUCCUGACGCUGAGGCACGAAAGCCAGGGGAGCAAACGGG